rnacentral:RNase_P_RNA from 2 species
CCAGGGGGCCGGGCAGCCGCGCUUAGGCGAGGAAAGUCCGGGCUCCACGAAACAAGGGUGGCGGGUAACGCCCGCCGUGGGCAACCACAGGGAAAGUGCCACAGAGAGCAUACCGCCGAUGGCCCGCCACUUCUUCGGAAGGCACGGGAUCAGGCAAGGGUGAAAGGGUGCGGUAAGAGCGCACCGGGGCUUCGGUAACGCGGCCCGCAUGGCAAACCCCACCCGGAGCAAGGCCGAAUAGGGGCGGCGCGCUGGAAACAGCAGGUGCGUUUCGUACCGACCGCCCGGGUUGGCUGCUCGAGCCACGGAGCAAUCCGUGGCCCAGACGAAUGGCUGCCGCCGCGCGGCUGAUGUGCAAGCAUAUCGCGUGCGGAACAGAACCCGGCUUACAGGCCCCCUGGCACU